rnacentral:rRNA from 1 species
GAUGAACGCUAGCGGCAGGCUUAACACGUGCAAGUCGAGGGGUAUAGUUCUUCGGAGCUAGAGACCGGCGCACGGGUGCGUAACGCGUAUGCAAUCUACCUUUUGCAGAGGGAUAGCCCAGAGAAAUUUGGAUUAAUACCUCAUGGUAUGUGAGAAUGGCAUCAUUUUCACAUUAAAGUCACAACGGCAAAAGAUGAGCAUGCGUCCCAUUAGCUAGUUGGUAAGGUAACGGCUUACCAAGGCAACGAUGGGUAGGGGUCCUGAGAGGGAGAUCCCCCCCACUGGUACUGAGACACGGACCAGACUCCUACGGGAGGCAGCAGUGAGGAAUAUUGGACAAUGGGCGCAAGCCUGAUCCAGCCAUGCCGCGUGCAGGAUGACGGUCCUAUGGAUUGUAAACUGCUUUUGUACAGGAAGAAACACUGGUUCGUGAACCAGCUUGACGGUACUGUAAGAAUAAGGAUCGGCUAACUCCGUGCCAGCAGCCGCCGUAAUAC